CGUUUGACAUCCUCAUCGCGAUUUCCAGAGAUGGAUAUCUUCAGUUCGGCUGGAUGAGUGACAGGUGCUGCAUGGCUGUCGUCAGCUCGUGUCGUGAGAUGUUGGGUUAAGUCCCGCAACGAGCGCAACCCUCGCCUUUAGUUGCCAGCAUUUGGUUGGGUACUCUAAAGGAACCGCCGGUGAUAAGCCGGAGGAAGGUGGGGAUGACGUCAAGUCCUCAUGGCCCUUACGCGCUGGGCUACACACGUGCUACAAUGGCGACUACAGUGGGCAGCCACUCCGCGAGGAGGAGCUAAUCUCCAAAAGUCGUCUCAGUUCGGAUCGUUCUCUGCAACUCGAGAGCGUGAAGGCGGAAUCGCUAGUAAUCGCGGAUCAGCAUGCCGCGGUGAAUACGUUCCCAGGCCUUGUACACACCGCCCGUCACACCAUGGGAGUUGGAUUCACUCGAAGGCGUUGAGCUAACCGCAAGGAGGCAGGCGACCACAGUGGGUUUAGCGACUGGGGUGAAGUCGUAACAAGGUAGCCGUAGGGGAACCUGCGGUGGAUCACCUCCUU
rnacentral:rRNA from 1 species